UACGAAGGGGGCUAGCGUUGCUCGGAAUCACUGGGCGUAAAGGGUGCGUAGGCGGGUCUUUAAGUCAGGGGUGAAAUCCUGGAGCUCAACUCCAGAACUGCCUUUGAUACUGAAGAUCUUGAGUUCGGGAGAGGUGAGUGGAACUGCGAGUGUAGAGGUGAAAUUCGUAGAUAUUCGCAAGAACACCAGUGGCGAAGGCGGCUCACUGGCCCGAUACUGACGCUGAGGUGCGAAAGCGUGGGGAGCAAACAGA
rnacentral:rRNA from 1 species